GACGUAGGGCGCAAGCGUUGUCCGGAUUUAUUGGGCGUAAAGAGCUCGUAGGCGGCUUGUCGCGUCGACUGUGAAAACCCGCGGCUUAACUGCGGGACUGCAGUCGAUACGGGCAGGCUAGAGUGCGGAAGGGGCAACUGGAAUUCUUGGUGUAGCGGUGAAAUGCGUAGAUAUCAAGAGGAACACCUGCGGCGAAGGCGGGUUGCUGGACCGACACUGACGCUGAGGCGCGAAAGCCAGGGGAGCGAACGGG
rnacentral:rRNA from 1 species